AAUUGAUUUUUUCUUCCCCAAGUUAUCAUUCUCUUGCAUCUGAUAAUGGUGAAGUUGGAGGUUGACUGUCCCUGUGUCACCCCAGAGGUUGUUCUCAAAGCAUUUGGUCAUGUUGAUAAAUUUACUGACCUUAUGGUUAAAGAUGAGAAAACUAGGACUUGCUAUCGUGCCGAUCACUUGCUCAAGGACUUCUGCAGUGAAAAGCUUCAAAAAGACCUUUCCAUAACUGCCAAGGAGGCUGCAGAACUGAAGCGCAUACUUGCUAUUUUGGAUGAUCUUUCAGCUGAAGAGCUGGGUGCCAAACUUAAGGAGUAUGGCAUUACAGCUCCAGACACUAAGAAUCCACUUUCUGAUCCAUAUCCAUUCAAUCUUAUGUUCCAAACAUCAAUAGGCCCAUCUGGCUUGAGCCCUGGGUUCAUGCGGCCAGAAAUUGCACAGGGCAUAUUUGUUAACUACAAAGACUUGUACUAUUACAAUGGGAACAAGCUUCCUUUUGCUGCUGCUCAAAUUGGCUAGGCUUUCAGAAAUGAGGUCGUUGAGCAUGGUCUGGGACAUCUGUCAUUUACAGAAAAACAGGUGGUCACUCCAACUGAGUCCGUGUAUACUGGUGUAGAUUUCUGUAAGAGAUUAUGUGGUGUGUCUAUAAUCAGGAGCGGUGAGAGUAUGGAGAAUUCUCUGAGAGCAUGUUGUAAGGGAAUCAAGAUUGGGAAAAUUCUAAUCCACAGAGAAGGAGACAAUGGCCAACAGGUUUCUGUUUUGUUUCUUUAUUUUUUUUGGUGGUGUGUGCUUUGUAGCAUUGCAUUUAGUUAGCUUAAUAUUUAGCUCAUAUUUUCUUGAGUUGUUGCACCAGAAUUCCCUAAAUCAAGAGCCAUAUUCUGUCAGAAGUGAAUCAUGUCUUGUUAACAGAAUGAUUUUUCAACUGGUUACAGGUCUUUCCCAGAGCUUGGACAACAAUUUUGAUUUCUCUAGACAAUGGUGGCAUGUGGAACCUUCGAAUAGACAAUCUAAACUCGUGGUAUCUAGGCUAGGAAACGUACAUUAGUGUUGUAAACUCUGAGUUUGUGAGAAGAAUUGUAGAAGCAGCAGAAAGUAAAUUCAAUUCAAUUUCGUUUUCUGGUUUUAGAUAUGCAACACGCAUUUUAUUGAUUUUUCCUCUUU